GACGAACGCUGGCGGCGCGCCUAACACAUGCAAGUCGAACGAAGCUUUGGAUUCGUCUGAAGCUUAGUGGCGGACGGGUGAGUAACACGUGAAGAACCUGCCUUACAGAGGGGGACAACAGUUGGAAACGACUGCUAAUACCGCAUAACAUUUUGGGAGGGCAUCCUUCUGAAAUCAAAGGAGCAAUCCGCUGUAAGAUGGCUUCGCGUCCGAUUAGCUAGUUGGUGAGGUAACGGCCCACCAAGGCAACGAUCGGUAGCCGGACUGAGAGGUUGAACGGCCACAUUGGGACUGAGACACGGCCCAGACUCCUACGGGAGGCAGCAGUGGGGAAUAUUGCACAAUGGGGGGGAACCCUGAUGCAGCGACGCCGCGUGGAGGAAGAAGGUCUUCGGAUUGUAAACUACCUGUUGUUGGGGAAGAUAAUGACGGUACCCAACAAGGAAGUGACGGCUAACUACGUG
rnacentral:rRNA from 1 species